UACAGAGGUCCCAAGCGUUUGUUCGGAUUCAUUGGGCGUAAAGGGUGCGUAGGCGGCGCGGUAAGUCGGGUGUGAAAUUUCGGAGCUUAACUCCGAAACUGCAUUCGAUACUGCCGUGCUUGAGGACUGGAGAGGAGACUGGAAUUUACGGUGUAGCAGUGAAAUGCGUAGAGAUCGUAAGGAAGACCAGUGGCGAAGGCGGGUCUCUGGACAGUUCCUGACGCUGAGGCACGAAGGCCAGGGGAGCAAACGGG
rnacentral:rRNA from 1 species